rnacentral:rRNA from 1 species
AGAGUUUGAUCAUGGCUCAGGAUGAACGCUGGCGGUGUGCCUAACACAUGCAAGUCGAACGAGCAGCCACGGCAUCUUCGGAUAUUGUGGUGGGCGAGUGGCGAACGGGUGCGUAACACGUAGGGACCUACUCCGAGGAGAGGGACAACCGGUGGAAACGCCGGCUAAGCCCGCAUAGUCUCAGCUUCGAGCUGAGUAAAGCUCCGGCGCCUUGGGAGGGUCCUGCGGCCUAUCAGGUAGUUGGUGGGGUAACGGCCCACCAAGCCGACGACGGGUAGGGGGCGUGAGAGCGUGGCCCCCCACACGGGAACUGAGACACGGUCCCGACGCCUACGGGCGGCAGCAGUGAGGAAUCUUGCGCAAUGGGGGAAACCCUGACGCAGCGACACCGCGUGCGGGAUGAAGGCUUUCGGGUCGUAAACCGCUUUUCUGUGGGACGAGGAUGGACGGUACCACAGGAAUAAGUCCCGGCUAACUACGUGCCAGCAGCCGCGGUAAAACGUAGGGGGCGAGCGUUAUCCGGAAUUACUGGGCGUAAAGGGCGUCUAGGCGGCAGAGUAAGUCUCAUGUGAAAGCUCCCGGCUCAACUGGGAGAGGGCGUGGGAAACUGCUCAGCUCGAGUGUCGGAGGGGGGUGUGGAAUUCCCGGUGGAGUGGUGGAAUGCGUUGAGAUCGGGAGGAACACCAGAAGCGAAGGCGGC